UUCUCAACCUCUUAACCUUCUCUUUCUCCACACACACACACACACACCUCUCAACUCUCAAAAAUCUUACAUAUUUAUCAAUCUCUACAGGUUUUGAUCCUGUCAUUGCUUUUCUCAUGUGGGGUUUUUGAGAUUUUCUUUUUAUUUUCGGUCUUAUAUAGCUAAGAUCAUACUUUUUGUAGAUUUUCUUGGUUUAGGAAGACAGAUUUUUGUUGGGCGGUGUCUGUAGAUUUUUUUUUUUUUUGGGUUAUAGGAAGACAAAGAAAGAUGACAGUGGGAGCAGGAAUUUGUGUAGCUGAAAGGAAGCUGAAUGUGUUGGGACAGAGCAUUCUCGCAGAUGUUAAUGAAAACAUAAUUGUAACACAGCCAACAGGUGAAGCUUUCACUAAUGGGGCAUUCCUUGGUGUUCAUUCCGAUAAAAUUGGUAGUCGCAGAGUUUUCCCUGUUGGCAAACUCCAAGGAUUGAGAUUUAUGUGUGUUUUCCGAUUCAAGUUAUGGUGGAUGACACAGAGGAUGGGCACAUCCGGACAAGACAUACCAUUUGAGACCCAAUUUUUGAUUGUGGAAGGAAAUGAUGGUUCAAAUUUUGAUCAAGACAACCGCAAAAAUUCAGCAUUGUAUGUUGUAUUCUUGCCUAUUCUGGAGGGAGAUUUUAGGGCUGUUCUUCAAGGGAACUCAAACGACGAGUUAGAAAUAUGCCUGGAAAGUGGAGAUCCUGCUGUGCAAGAUUUUGAAGGAAGCCAUUUGGUUUUCGUAGCAGGUGGCCCGGACCCUUUUGAUGUCAUCACUAAUGCAGUCAAGACGGUGGAGAGGCAUUUGCAGACAUUUUGCCACCGUGAUAGAAAGAAGAUGCCAGACAUGUUGAACUGGUUUGGAUGGUGUACAUGGGAUGCUUUCUAUACUACUGUUACUGCCGAGGGAGUGAAGCAAGGAUUAGAGAGCUUGGAGAAAGGAGGUAUUCCUCCAAAGUUUGUACUCAUUGAUGAUGGAUGGCAAUCAGUGGGUGUGGAUCCCAAUAGUAUUGAAUCCAUUGCUGAUAACCAUGCAAACUUUGCUAACAGGCUAACUCAUAUCAAAGAGAACCACAAGUUUCAAAAAGAUGGAAAGGAAGGACAUAGGGUUAAUGAUCCUGCAAUGGGACUACGGCAUGUUGUUACCAAUAUCAAAGACCAACACAAUUUAAAGUAUGUGUACGUGUGGCAUGCGCUCGCCGGUUACUGGGGCGGUGUGAAACCUGGGGUCCCUGAGAUGGAUCACUAUGAAUCCAAGUUAUCUUUCCCAGUUUCAUCCCCUGGGGUUGAGUCACAAGAACCUGAUGAUGCUUUGGAUAGCUUGACAAAGAAUGGUCUUGGUCUAGUGAACCCUGAGAAAGUCUAUAAUUUCUAUAAUGAACUGCACUCAUACCUUGCUUCUACCNUAUAUAUAUGUAUAUAUAUAUAUAUAUAUAUAUAUAGCUUAUAAAAUUGAAGCUGGACUAGUUGUUCUAAGAAACGGGUACUUAUUGUGAAUAGACACUUUUGCGAAAUUCUGAUUUGGUUUUGUUUCUCUUGUAUUGUGUAGUGCGAAACGCUCAGCUGUUAUUAGAGCUUCAGAUGAUUUCUGGCCGAGAGAUCCUGCAUCACACACAAUUCACAUAGCAUCAGUGGCUUAUAAUACUAUUUUCCUUGGGGAGUUCAUGCAGCCUGAUUGGGACAUGUUUCAUAGUGUGCACCCAAUGGCUGAAUACCAUGGAGCAGCGCGGGCUGUUGGAGGCUGUGCUAUUUAUGUCAGUGACAAGCCUGGACAGCACGAUUUUAAUCUUUUAAAGAAGCUUGUUCUUCCAGAUGGUUCCAUAUUACGCGCCAAACUUCCUGGAAGGCCAACUAGAGACUGCUUGUUUUCUGAUCCAGCAAGAGAUGGGAUAAGUCUAUUGAAGAUUUGGAAUCUGAAUGAUUUCAAUGGAGUAGUUGGUGUGUUUAACUGUCAAGGAGCUGGGUGGUGUAAGGUCGGCAAGAAGAAUCUAAUCCACGAUUAUCAACCAGAGACGAUAACUGGGAUUGUCCGUGCUAAUGAUGUCGACUACUUACCUAGGAUUGCUCAUGAUGGAUGGACUGGGGAUGCCAUUCUCUAUUCUCAUCUCCACAGAGACUUGGUCCAUCUUCCAAAAAAUUCAUCUUUUCCAAUUACUCUUAAGGCGAGAGAAUAUGAAGUCUUUACGGUGGUUCCAAUCAAGGAAAUGUCAACCGGAUCUAAAUUUGCUCCGAUUGGACUUGUAAGUAUGUUCAAUUCAGGAGGAGCAAUCAAAGAGUUGAAGUAUGAAACAGAGGGAAGUGGAAUAAUCUCUAUGAAGGUUCGCGGAUGUGGCAUGUUUGGAGCCUAUUCACCUGUGAAGCCUAAAAGAAUACAAGUGGACGAUAAAGAAGUACAGUUUGAUUAUGAAAAAUCCUCUGGAUUAGUCACUCUGGCUCUUAGAGUUCCUGACAAAGAGUUAUACGCUUGGGACGUAAGGGUUGAAGUAUGAAAAGUGCGAGAUGAUCAUUGUGAUGUAUGACUAAUCAUUGGAUGAGGUGAAGACUUGUAAACUGAGUCUCUCUUUUCCAGUUACUCAUAUUUUGAAUUUAGGGGCGAUAUCUGUCGUUGAGGUCCUGAUGUUGUAGCUUUGCACCAUGUUUGAUCAAUCUGCUGGAAAUUCCCAUAGCAUAAUGAUGAUCUAUUGGUCCUGUAUCUUAGUUAUCCGAGCCUUGGAAAUAGAUGCUCUUCAUAAUAUUUAUUUCCUUCUUUUCUUGUUCUA